rnacentral:rRNA from 1 species
UACGUAGGGGGCUAGCGUUGUCCGGAUUUAUUGGGCGUAAAGAGCGUGUAGGCGGCCAGGUAGGUCUGCUGUGAAAACUCGAGGCUCAACCUCGAGACGUCGGCGGAAACCAUCUGGCUAGAGUCCGGAAGAGGAGAGUGGAAUUCCUGGUGUAGCGGUGAAAUGCGCAGAUAUCGGAAGGAACAUCAGUGGCGAAAGCGGCUUCCUGGACCAGUACCGACGUUCAGGCACGAAAGCGUGGGGAGCAAACAGG